UCACGCCUCUUGUAAUUCAAUCAUUGUACAACAUAUCUUUUUUUUUUCUUUCAUUUACCAGCCUACUAGUAUCCGUGGGGGUCCAUAGGGGCUCCGCUACCCGUUAACCUUUAACAUUCAUAAUCAGUUUCCAGGGCCGUCCCCAUACCCCGUCCGGUAUGGGCGCCAAAACCAUGAACCUCAAUACCCCGUCCGGUAUGAGGGUGAAACGGGCCGUCCCCAUACCCCGUCCGGUAUGGGCGCCAAAACCAUAAACCUCAAUACCCCGUCCGGUAUGAGGGUGAAACGGGCCGUCCCCAUACCCCGUCCGGUAUGGGCGCCAAAACCAUAAGAUCUCCAUACCCCGUCCGGCAUGUGAGACCACAAUCCCGGUAGGGUUCCCUACGGACCCGGUCCGUCCACCAUCUCCCAGGAUAUCUAGUCAGGCUGACCCCCAUAAUACAAUUAUCAGUCUAUACAAUGUUUCAUUUCACUUUUCCUCAAUAAGCAUCAUCAAUUCACAUUUAAACAAGCAAAUCAUAAUUCAUGCCGAACAGACAACAUACAGUAUCACUUCUUCAGUCAUUCAACCCAUAAUUAAUAAAACAGUAAUAUAUGCAUUCGAAACUAUAAAAUGAACACAUCAAACCCCAUAAUGCAUUUAAAGCUGUAAAACAGGCCAAAUAACAGUAAAUCAUCAAUCACACUAGACUCGGGCUCCAUUAGCAACCUUAAGCAAUUUCACACAUGCGUUAAUUCAAGAAAUACCGUUUUAUUAUUUUGAACUUUAAUACCGUGAUAGGAAAUAGGGUGAGGGGUCCUUACCUGUUUUCGGGAUCCGAAUACGAUUCACAGUGCGCCUGCAGGCUGUCCCUAAUUUUCCCUGAAUCUUUCCCGGGAAACUGAAACACACUAACAGUACCUGCACGUGUUCCAAAAAAAAUCCAAAUUAGGCCCAGGGCCUCCUUCGGCCCAAAUCGCAACUCCGGCACGGCGGCUCCGCCGUGCUCCGGCGACGGCGCCGCCGCUGGCGGCGGCGAGUCGCCUCGGGUUGGCUGUUUUCGGCCGUUUUCGGCCGAAUUCGGCCACGCUCGCAUUGGUCCUUGUCAGAAAACAACCCUAGGGCCCUC
rnacentral:lncRNA from 1 species